AUAUAGGGAAUAUGGCUCUGGUUAAAGUAGUGCACUACAUAGGGAAUAGGGCCCUGGUUAAAGUAGUGCACUACUUAGGGAAUAGGGCACUGGUUAAAGUAGUGCACUACAUAGGGAAUAGGGCCCUGGUUAAAGUAGUGCACUACAUAGGGAAUAGGGCUCUGGCUAAAGGUUGUGCACUACAUAGGGAAUAGGGCCCUGGUUAAAGUAGUGCACUACAUAGGGAAUAGGGCCCUGGUUAAAGUAGUGCACUACUUAGGGAAUAGGGCUCUGGCUAAAGGUUGUGCACUACUUAGGGAAUAGGGCUCUGGUUAAAGUAGUGCACUACAUAGGGAAUAGGGCUCUGGCUAAAGGUUGUGCACUACAUAGGGAAUAGGGCCCUGGUUAAAGUAGUGCACUACUUAGGGAAUAGGGCUCUGGCUAAAGGUUGUGCACUACGUAGGGAAUAGGGUUCUGGCUAAAGGUUGUGACUACAUAGGGUUAUGGCUCUGGUUAAAGUAGUGCACUACUUAGGGAAUAAGGCUCUGGCUAAAGGUUGUGCACUACUUAGGGAAUAGGGUUCUGGCUAAAGGUUGUGACUACAUAGGGAAUAAGGCUCUGGUUAAAGUAGUGCACUACGUAGGGAAUAAGGCUCUGGUUAAAGUAGUGCACUACGUAGGGAAUAGGGCUCUGGCUAAAGGUUGUGCACUACAUAGGGAAUAAGGCUCUGGUUAAAGUAGUGCACUACUUAGGGAAUAAGGCUCUGGCUAAAGGUUGUGCACUACUUAGGGAAUAGGGUUCUGGCUAAAGGUUGUGACUACAUAGGGUUAUGGCUCUGGUUAAAGUAGUGCACUACUUAGGGAAUAAGGCUCUGGCUAAAGGUUGUGCACUACUUAGGGAAUAGGGUUCUGGCUAAAGGUUGUGACUACAUAGGGAAUAAGGCUCUGGUUAAAGUAGUGCACUACAUAGGGAAUAAGGCUCUGGUAAAAGUAGUGCACUACAUAGGGAAUAGGGUUCUGGCUAAAGUAGUGCACUACGUAGGGAAUAGGGCUCUGGCUAAAGGUUGUGCACUACGUAGGGAAUAGGGCUCUGGUUAAAGUAGUGCACUACAUAGGGAAUGGGGCCCUGGUUAAAGUAGUGCACUACGUAGGGAAUAGGGCUCUGGCUAAAGGUUGUGCACUACUUAGGGAAUAAGGCUCUGGUUAAAGUAGUGCACUACAUAGGGAAUAAGGCUCUGGUAAAAGUAGUGCACUACAUAGGGAAUAGGGUUCUGGCUAAAGUAGUGCACUACGUAGGGAAUAGGGCUCUGGCUAAAGGUUGUGCACUACGUAGGGAAUAGGGCUCUGGUUAAAGUAGUGCACUACAUAGGGAAAAGGGUGCCAUUUGGGAUGCACACCUGGACUAACUAACUCAGAGGUCCUGAACAGUCAUUCUGAUGCCCAUGUUAAGUAGCCUUUUGAGUGACCAAAACAUCACCCAUAAUUAUUCUUUUUUUUCUCCUCUAGAAAUGCUCUGAAUGUAAAAAAAAAAAAAAAAAAUCAGUAUUUUUUUCUUUUAUGUCAAACUACCAGGAAGUCUGAAAGGACAGAUUGCGCGGGGAGAUCACCUCGACUGACGGUUCCUUGGAAACGGCUAUGUAAUAUACAUGUAACAUGUAUGUAACAUGGACGCAGUGUUGCCAUGUUGCAGUGACAUUAUCUCAAGCAAAUGUGCUGAUACGUAAAAGCAACUCAAAUAACAUUGACAUUUCGUGCAACUUCCAUUCCUUUCAGACAUCACAAAUAUGUAUAUAUUUUUUAUUUAUCUAUUGUCAGCACCAUUUUAUAAAGCUAUCUUGGACAAUUUGAUUUGAAACGACAGGGUGGAGUCUGGGUAAACUUCAUGCAUUAUAUAUAUAUAUAUAUGUUGACUGCCAGACAAUGGUCAGAUAUCAUGACUAUCAAUGUCAAGAAGUUUGUAACGUUAAGGCAACGACAUAAUAUAUAAUAAUAUAUGCCAUUUAGCAGACGCUUUUAUCCAAAGCGACUUACAGUCAUGUGUGCAUACAUUCUACGUAUGGGUGGUCCCGGGAAUCGAACCCACUACCCUGGCGUUACAAGCGCCAUGCUCUACCAACUGAGCUACAGAAGGACCACAUGGCAUUGUCUUUGGUGUAUUACAAUAAGAGUUUAUUUUUUGUGACCUCCUCCUGAGUCCAAGUGUUUGACAAGUGGCGGAGGGGGGUACCAGUAACUUUAUGAUCCAACCACGAUCAAUGUAGAAGCAACAGUCAUUCAUCAUACAUUGGUCUUCCUACUUUGAUCUGGUUUCAUCCAAAUAUCAUGAAAUUUCAUGAAGAAAAAAACUAUUUUUUUUGUGUUCAGGACCUUUAACAGAACAUGGUUUGGUGAAAGGGUCUUAUUUGUAUGCUAUGUAAAUAAUACCAUUUUAUUUAUUUGAAAAGUUCAACAAUAUAUUAUUUAUCUACAUCUGAACAAUAACAAUACAAGUCAGUGUACAUAUACGCGGAUCAACUUCCCGUCACAUGACUCCGUGGGGAUGAUGUCACUUCCUCUGUAACAGUGUCUUCUGGGUACUGUAGUACUUCACGUGUCACCGCAGUAGCUACCUGGGAAAUGCGAUGCGUUGAGUUCAACUCCUCUCCCCAGUGGACCAAGUGUGUUAAAAUUGAUUGUGUAUGAUAUCUAAACCUCUGUUCAACUACAGUUUAUUAAAAUCAAUGCUGUAAAACAUACAA